GAGAGAUUAGCUCAUGUGGAUAGAGCGUCAGCCUCCGGAGCUGAAGGCGGCAGGUUCAAGUCCUGUAUCUCUCA
rnacentral:tRNA from 1 species